UUGUCAUAAACAGACACAUAAUCUAUUUAGCUUUGGCCAAGCUAACUUUGAAGGGACAUGGUUUUACGUAGUCCAUCUUACUUGAGUCAGACAAGCAUGGUCUUACUUAAGUGAACUCUCAAGAGGCACUUGGCUGCAGGCAAGUAGACCCCCAGGAGUAAGAGGCUGGACAAUACAUCAAUAAUGCCAAGGGUAACAUAU
rnacentral:lncRNA from 1 species